rnacentral:rRNA from 1 species
UACGUAGGCAGCGAGCGUUGUUCGGAUUUACUGGGCGUAAAGCGUGCGUAGGCGGUUUUGUAAGUUUGGUGUGAAAUCUCCCGGCUCAACUGGGAGGGUGCGCCGAAAACUGCAAGGCUGGAGUGUGGGAGAGGUAGGCGGAAUUCCUGGUGUAGCGGUGAAAUGCGUAGAUAUCAGGAGGAACACCUGUGGUGUAGACGGCUUACUGGACCAUGACUGACGCUGAGGCACGAAAGCGUGGGGAGCAAACGGG